GUGCCCAUAGCUCAAGCGGUAGAGCGUCCGACUCAUAAUCGGAUGGUUGUCGGUUCAAUCCCGGCUGGGCGCACCA
rnacentral:tRNA from 2 species